AGCAGCAGCCGCGGUAAUACGUAUGUCACGAGCGUUAUCCGGAUUUAUUGGGCGUAAAGCGCGUCUAGGUGGUUAUAUAAGUCUGAUGUGAAAAUGCAGGGCUCAACUCUGUAUUGCGUUGGAAACUGUAUAACUAGAGUACUGGAGAGGUAAGCGGAACUACAAGUGUAGAGGUGAAAUUCGUAGAUAUUUGUAGGAAUGCCGAUGGGGAAGCCAGCUUACUGGACAGAUACUGACGCUAAAGCGCGAAAGCGUGGGUAGCAAACAGGAUUAGAUACCCGCGUAGUCCCUGUCUCUUAUACA
rnacentral:rRNA from 1 species